UAGAGUGUCAUUUCCUUAAAUCUGUGGACCAGAUUCAUUGGCAGUUUGCAAGGAAUUGUUUUGAAAUUUCAAGCUUUGUGAGCAUUUUCAACAGAUUGAAAACUUCGAAACUUAUGCUGUGACAGAACCAUAUGUUAUAUACACAGCUUAAUGCUCAAGGAAACCAAUCACUUGCGGGUUUUUCCCUCCCAUAGUUCUUUGUUUAAAAUAUUAUGGAACUGUGUCCUUCAUGCAUCCUGCUUGGGUUGAGCUGUGAAAGUAAUGGAGUAGUGCAAAUGAGAGCAUAUCAGGUUGUUGAGGUCACCUGUGUUUUUAACUACUUAUGGGUUAUGGUUCGAUAAGCAAGGUUUAAUAGAAUCAACUAAGUGGGUUGGCUGCAUUUUCAUUUGUCUCCUUUCCAAAAGAGGUGGAGAUGGAUUAUUUAAAAAACAAAACAAAGCCAAAAACAAAAACAGAAACAUAACAAAACCCCAAAACAACCCUCUCUACAUAGUCUUUGUACUGUGAAUCACAGUUUGAGUGUUAUGUUGUGAGAUUCCGUCUGCUUUUAGUUUUCAAUCUAAGCAAACUCUUGAUAGUCCCUUCUCAGGAAUAUAGUUCAGUUCUCAUUUACUUGGUUAUAACUGAUGGCUUUCAUAUUAAUAAACCCAAGUGCAUCUGUUUCCAUUGUGGUCUAUAAGGAAGAUUUAGCUGUUUUUGUGUGAUGGUCUUAUGUACUAAAGUUGAGAUAAUGUGGCAUGUCUUACUUUUUCUUGAUUUACUGUUAUAGCAAGUGAAUUCUAAGACCUAGUGUAUUUUAUAUCAUUUUUUAAGAAUAGCUUUGCUGUUUCUUAGGUUAGUCGUGUGAAAAAGAUCUGCAGCUACUGCUGCUCUUAGAGUAUAGCGUAGGGUAUGUUUAGGUAAAGAUUAUUUUAUAAUUUAUUGGAAGACUUAAGAUAGUAAAUGUUCUGUAGACUCACUUGACAUCAUCUAGACACUUGAAAUGGUUAUGGAUGGCUUCUACAAUAUUCUUAGUCUUUCUAGUUUCCAUCAUUAAGAGCAGUAUUUUAGGUUGAACUACUUAUAACUGCAGGAGAGUCGUGCCUCUUGUAGGCUUUCUCAAAUCAGGUCAAACACUGGGUUUUCUUUCAAGUAGCCAAAUAUUCCAAAUUAUGGUUAAACUGGAGCUGAUAGCCUUUGCCCCAGAGUGGGCUUCUUUUUUGCAGCCAUAUCCCCCAUUUAUUCUUGGGGUUUGUAGUUAUAGGGUGAAUGGUGCUUUUCUAUGGGGAUAUAAUGUUUUGUUAUGCUGUAGUGGGGAGUACUGUUAAAUGGUUGGGGUGAGUAGUUUUAAACUAUAUUAACAUUUUUAUAUACUUUAUACAUCCAAACAGAAUUUGGAGCAGCUUAUGGUAAAACACAAAUAUAACAACACUCCUCGCUUAAUUGUGAAGGUAAAAUGAAGAGAGAAGAAGAAAGAAGGGGGAAAUUAUUUAUUUAUAUUUACCUCUACAUAACUUUGCUUGUGGGCUAUGCCCCCUCCCUCCUUUAUUAAAUCUACUGAUAGCAUCUUUGUGUCAUCCGGAAUGUAGAUCCUAGUUCCUUGGGGCCCUUUACUGCUGGAAAAGAUGAAAGAGGACACAGAGACUCCUGAAUGGAAAGGUGAUUCAUCAAACCACUGAGUUGCUGGCCUCAUCCUUUUAGUCUUGUGUUGGGGUGCUUUCAUCAUGUUAUAUUUCUAGGGUUUGGAGAUGACUUUAAAGAAGAGGACCCUAGAGCUAAACCUCAUUAAAACACAAGGAGUCAGUCCUCCCAUCAUCUGGAACCUCUGUGAAUCAGCAUUCAAUAAAAAAUUACUAAGUAUAUGAAGAGACAGGACAAUUUGAUUCCAAACCAAGAGAAAACAGAAACAAUAGAAAGCAGAAACAGAGGCGAUCCAGUCAUUGGAGUUAGCAGACAAAGAUUUUAUUAUGUUUAGGAAUAUAGAAGGAAGAAAAAGAAAAAAAGAGAAAUUCAGAGAAGCUGCUUAUGGAAAAGAAGAACUUGACUUUGGCAGGAGAAUGACAAUCUUUGAAAGAAACUCAGGAUUCAAGAAUAAUACUGUCCUUCAACUUAAAAUCAAAUGCCUACAACAGUGCAAAAAAGAAAAGAAAAAUAACAGUUUACAAAGUGUAGGUGAUUUCCACAUGUUUAUAGAGAAGAAAGUAUUGACAUAGAGCUUUGACAUGCUUAUACUUUAUUUGAAGAUUAAAUAUGUUAAUUAUUGAAA